GACGAGGUGGCCGAGUGGUUGUCUGAAUUCUCGUGAAAUAUACCAAGUCAAUCUGAUAAUAAAAAAAAAAAGUGGUUAAGGCGUUGGACUGCUAAUCCAAUGUGCUCUGCACGCGUGGGUUCGAAUCCCAUCCUCGUCG